UUUGGCCCUCAUACAAGAAUCCAUUUAUAUUUUUCCACAAGAACGAAAGAAACCACGGCCAACACCUGCCUAACUCCAUACUUACUCGUUUGCUCCUAUGGAAGAUCACCAGGUAUUGAAUAUUGAAAAAGAUAAACGAUGGGUGAAACCCUACUUACGAUUUAGGAAUACAAGAUAUGGUCUAUAGUUGUCUAGCCACCGUGUAGGAAAACAAAACAUAGUUCACUGAUUCUCCCUGUACACCACAUAUUUGACGGAUCUCUUCUCCUCCCAUGCCCCUUGCAUUCAUAAGAUCACUGACUGGAAAAGCUUCACUCAAGGCUCCAUAGAAAUACCUUUAUCUUAGGAGAUAUCAACACUUUCCAAACCUUCUUCUUGAGAUCAUUAACUGACGGCAGCGCCUUAGCAACAUCAUAUACAUCUUUGUUCUUCUCUCUAGUUUCCAACCAAUAUCCCGACUUGACUGUAUAAUCCCCACUCUUGUUGAAUUUCCAUGUCCAAGUCAUCAAAAUCCAUCAUCGGCUGUUUUUUCAUCACACUAUUAACAUCACCAGGCACAAAGAUCUCUUGGAGCUUGUUUAUAUCCCAUCGUCUGCUUUGAAAAUCAAUAAGCUGAUCCGCC
rnacentral:lncRNA from 1 species